UGGCUGAGUUGGUAGAGCGCUUCACUGGAAUUGAUGAGGUCCCUGGUUCGAUACCAGG
rnacentral:tRNA from 1 species